ACUCGCUAAAGCUCGGAACGUUUGCUUUCUUCGUGCUGGUCGUUUUAAAUUUGUGCGCCUCGCAGGUUGAAUUGAAGGAGCUGAAGAGUAGACGUCGGUUCUACAUUAUAAGAUGCUGCGGGCGAAGGUCUUGCACUAACGUGCGCCGACUGAAAAAAGCGAACCGUACAUUAAUCGCUCAACCAACUAAAUCUAUUUUAAAUCCUUUGAAAUCGUUGCCAACCAAAAUAAGUCUAGAAACGGAAGUAAAUGUCGAAGAAACGAAAACUGAAGCAGCGCCAGAAACUGCCGAUGUGAACUUAACUUUGAAUACGCUAAAGGGUCCUCAGCAACCGAUUGUAAUUACAUAAUAUUAUAUAUUAACAAACUGUAAUAAGCGAGUGUCUCAAAUUCAGCCAGCAACAAAAACGGAAUUCACGAAUAGUAUCGUGACGGGAGAGAGAACAACAAGUGCGGGAGAGAUUAUAAAGACCAUUACUGACUCGGCCAAUGUUUCCUCAACGAACGUUUUCCCAACGCUCUCUACAGACACAAUACCAAAUUCGGCAUACACGGUCUUGAUAAGCACCAUCCCUAGAGCUCAACAACAAUUGCACCUGCUUCCAUUUCAUCUACCGCACAAGUAAGGCAAUUUUUAAUUAGGAUAUUUAUUUCACAUUGCCAUUAUACUACAUAAUAUAAAGAUUAGGCUUGAUUCCAUGAUGACGAGCACCAUCUCAACCGAUACAGUUUCAAAUAAUAUGGCCUCAAUUAGCACAACAAUCAUAAAAUUAUCUAUAUCGUCAACUACAUCCGUCCCGUCAACAGCUCGCACGACAGUAAAUAAAUAUAAUUAUUAUUUAUGGCUUAAAUCAUCACUUAUUGUGGUUAAAUUUUUCUUUUAGGUUCCCUUUGACUGUUCUUUAAUGCCUUGUGAAAAAAAUAAUUCACUUUUCGACAG